GUGAGAUCUUGUGUGGGGGUUAGUUUGUGUUGUGCUUCGAGUUGUCUGAUCUGGUCCAGUAGGGAUGUUAUGUGGGCUAUGUGUUUUUUUUUUUCGCUAGCUGUUCACAUGUAUACAAGUAGACAAAUAAACAAUCGUGGCACGUAUGACCAGCGUCUCUACAUUUAAAGUACGUAAAGGAUAUUUGAUGGGUCGUUGGAUAGGUGCAGU